rnacentral:rRNA from 1 species
CCCAAUAUCUAAACGGAGAAAUUCAAUAUUACCCCUUAACCGCGUAAUGUGCACUUUUCUCUUAGUAAGACGCCGUGAUUCAUUAGAAAUUGAUAUACGCCAAGUAUAUAGUGGGUCAUCAAUAGGCCAGUGUGAAGUUUAUUGGAACAAAUGGCACGAUCAUUAACGGUUGUGUGUAUUGUCUGGUAAGCACAUCUGAUACCUGUAAUGACUGUCUGAUGAGUUUUAAAGAUUAUACUAUUGAUGUUACGGCAUCAUCAGCAUUCGCUGACACGGUAUAUAUCUGAUCAACGGCGGUUAAAUUUGGGAUACCUUUAUGACCCGUCUUGAAACACGGACCAAGGAGUCUAUCUAGUAUGCGAGUAAAUGGAUAGUUAAUGAAAUCUAUUUGCGUAAUAAACGUGACUGUUUUCAUGGGAUUACGAUUAAUAAUUUUCACGAAUUAUUUUUCUUCCAUCCCGGGGUAUUUUUAUCAACAUAUAAGCAAUUAUAUGGAAAAUAUACCAUGAGCACACUGGAUACGACCCGAAAGAUGGUGAACUAUGCCUGAUCAGGUCGAAGUCAGGGGAAACCCUGAUGGAGGACCGAAGCAGUUCUGACGUGCAAAUCGAUUGUCAGAAUUGGGCAUAGGGGCGAAAGACCAAUCGAACCAAA